GAUGAACGCUGGCGGCGUGCUUAACACAUGCAAGUCGAGCGGGCAAUUUAUCUAGCACUGAUUACUUCAAAUGGAAAUCAUAAGUGUAAUCAUGAAUUUCUACCUUUAAUAAAGAAAAAGAAAUUCAUGUACGCAAAUAGUGAUAACACAUUUUAGUGGAGUGAUGAGUGCUGGAUAAAUUGCUAGCGGCGGACGGGUGCGUAACACGUGGGUAACCUGCCCCUAUCACUGGGAUAACACACUGAAAGUGUGCUAAUACCAGAUAACAUAAGCUUUUGGCAUCAUUAGCUUAUCAAAGAAUUUCGGAUAGGGAUGGGCCCGCGUCUGAAUUAGCUAGUUGGUGAGGUAACGGCUCACCAAGGCAACGAUCAGUAGCCGACCUGAGAGGGUGAUCGGCCACACUGGAACUGAGACACGGUCCAGACUCCUACGGGAGGCAGCAGUGGGGAAUAUUGCACAAU
rnacentral:rRNA from 1 species